UACGUAGGGUGCGAGCGUUGUCCGGAAUUAUUGGGCGUAAAGGGCUCGUAGGCGGUUUGUCACGUCGGGAGUGAAAACUCGGGGCUUAACCCCGAGCCUGCUUCCGAUACGGGCUGACUAGAGGUAUGCAGGGGAGAACGGAAUUCCUGGUGUAGCGGUGAAAUGCGCAGAUAUCAGGAGGAACACCGGUGGCGAAGGCGGAUCUCUGGGCAUUACCUGACGCUGAGGAGCGAAAGUGUGGGGAGCGAACAGG
rnacentral:rRNA from 1 species